UACGUAGGGUGCGAGCGUUAAUCGGAAUUACUGGGCGUAAAGCGUGCGCAGGCGGUUAUGUAAGACAGAUGUGAAAUCCCCGGGCUCAACCUGGGAACUGCAUUUGUGACUGCAUAGCUAGAGUACGGUAGAGGGGGAUGGAAUUCCGCGUGUAGCAGUGAAAUGCGUAGAUAUCAGGAGGAACACCGAUGGCGAAGGCAGGUCUCUGGGCUGACACUGACGCUCAUGCACGAAAGCGUGGGGAGCAAACAGG
rnacentral:rRNA from 1 species